GACGAACGCUGGCGGCGUGCUUAACACAUGCAAGUCGAACGGAAAGGCCCCUUUGGGGGUACUCGAGUGGCGAACGGGUGAGUAACACGGGAGUAACCUGCCCUUGACUUCGGGAUAACUUCAGGAAACUGGGGCUAAUACCGGAUAGGAAUCCUUGCUGCAUGGUGGGGGUUGGAAAGCUUCGGCGGUUUUGGGUGGACUCGCGGCUUAUCGGCGUGUUGGUGGGGUAGUGGCUUACCAAGGCUUUGACGGGUAGCCGGCCUGAGAGGGCGACCGGCCACAUUGGGUCUUAGAGACGGCCCAGACGCCUACGGUUGGCAGCAGUGGGGAAUAUUGCACCAUGGGCGGCAGCCUGAUGCAGCAACGCCGCGUGCGGGAUGACGGCCUUCGGGUUGUAAACCGCUUUCAGCAGGGGCGAAGCUUGUGGUGACGGUACCUGCAGAAGAAGCACCGGCUAACUACGUG
rnacentral:rRNA from 1 species